AGCUGGGGAUGAUACUUGGUCAGUCAGCAUACUAUUGCUGCUGUUUUACUUUGACAGGGUGGAGGAUCAGUUUCGAAAAAAAAAUAAGAGGGAGACUGUGGGCACCUUUUCCUCCCUUUAUUGAUGUUGAAAUGCUGUGUAUCCUGUGUUUUAGGAGACUUAAAUCUGCCUCAAGGGUUGAUGCAUAGUGGUUAAAUGAAGCACCCUGGCCUUCUGCAGAGGAUGAGGCGUUGCUAAUCCAAACCGUGUGGGUUUGGCUCGAUACAGGAGUCACUGCUUGGGGUGGAUGGGGCAGCUGCUGUACACAUCUCCCCUGUUUGCUCACUCCUGGUUUAUGGCACAGCCAAUGCAAAAUGCAGCAGCCGGGGUCUGUACAGCAGCGCUCAUAGAAUGGAGGAGGUGGA